CUCUGUAGCUCAGUCGGUAGAGCAAAGGACUGAAAAUCCUUGUGUCGGUGGUUCGAUUCCACUCGGA
rnacentral:tRNA from 1 species